rnacentral:rRNA from 1 species
UGAGGGAAUAUUUGGGUCAAUGGGCGGAAGCCUGAACCAGCCAAGUCGCGUGAGGGAAGACGGUCCUACGGAUUGUAAACCUCUUUUGCCGGGGAACAACGGGCGUCACGCGUGGCGCUGUGAGUGUACCCGGAGAAAAAGCAUCGGCUAACUCCGUGCCAGCAGCCGCGGUAAUACGGAGGAUGCGAGCGUUAUCCGGAUUUAUUGGGUUUAAAGGGUGCGCAGGCGGCGCGUCAAGCCGGCGGUAAAAUUGCGGGGCUCAACCCCGUACGAGCCGU